rnacentral:rRNA from 1 species
AUACGGAGGGGGCUAGCGUUGUUCGGAAUUACUGGGCGUAAAGCGCACGUAGGCGGCGCACGCAGUCAGAGGUGAAAGGCCUGGGCUCAACCCAGGAACUGCCUUUGAUACUGGUGUGCUAGAGUCCGUGAGAGGGUAGCGGAAUUCCCAGUGUAGAGGUGAAAUUCGUAGAUAUUGGGAAGAACACCGGUUGCGAAGGCGGCUACCUGGAACGGUACUGACGCUGAGGUGCGAAAGCGUGGGGAGCAAACAGUAUUAGAAACCCCGGUAGUCC